rnacentral:rRNA from 1 species
UACGUAGGGUGCAAGCGUUGUCCGGAAUUAUUGGGCGUAAAGAGCUCGUAGGCGGUCUGUCGCGUCGGCUGUGAAAACUCGGGGCUCAACCCCGAGCCUGCAGUCGAUACGGGCAGACUAGAGUGCUGUAGGGGAGACUGGAAUUCCUGGUGUAGCGGCGAAAUGCGCAGAUAUCAGGAGGAACACCGGUGGCGAAGGCGGGUCUCUGGGCAGUAACUGACGCUGAGGAGCGAAAGCGUGGGUAGCGAACAGG